CAGCAGGAAAGUGCAGGCCAGCCUUGAUGAGGCAGCCAUUUUAGGCCCUUGCUCUCAGGGCUGGGGCAGCAGUCUGCUGCUGGCAGCCAGAGCAACAAUACCCAGCUGAGCCCCUGCUCCUGGAACAUCUUGGAGGUCCCCGGAGUGGUUCUCUUCAUUCCCCAGUAUUGAACUCACCGGUCGAUCAAGCCUUUCCAUCGGAUUAAAUUCCUGCUGGGUCUUGGCCGGUUUGAACAGGUCUUUGAUCUGCCUCAGCCCAGCUGACUCCUCCAGGCGUUUUGAGUGCGGCAUCUGAUGUCUCUGGGUUUGCCAUGCCUUCUCCUGCUCCUCAGGGAUGUGGUGAGGCUACCUGUCUGCAGUCUUUUGGGACUGGCGUUGUGCUGGAGGAGAGUACCAACAUCAGCAGCUUCUCCUGAGUGGGAAACCAUCAGCAUGUCACAGCAGUGAGGAGACUGCUCCAUGGUCCUGGAUGAUGGGGACUCCCAAGAAGAGCAAUAUACCAUGACCUUUACCCCAGUGUCCCGCCCCCAAUUCUGCAGACUAGCACAGAUGAUGAGCAGGAGGAGGAGGAGGAGGAAACCACUUCGGAUGUGGUUUCUGUUCCCCACACUCAAACAUCGGGUUCUGUUCCCAAAACCCAAGAAGAUGCAUGACCGGUGACUUCUGGCAUGGCCAGUGACAGUCAGGGAUGUGGCUCCAAACUGAGGACUCCUACCAUGCCCUAUGUCAUCUGGGCACAUGCCCCCGAACCUCGGACCCUAGCUCAAACUACAGCAGAGCGCUCAAAGGAUAUGCACUGCAGGCAGCGAUGAUCCUGAAACAGCAUGAUGGAGGCUUUCGUGGAGUCAUCACAAAGCAGAGUAUCAGCCGCAGAUGGCUGGCAAGACAAACUCUGGGAGUUGCUUCCUUGUGAUGAGGUCUUAAAGAACUGACUUGUGAACAACACAAUUGCCAUCCAGAAGAAGUUGUUAGACUGCAUGGGCCAGUUACUGGAGAUGGCUGCACAGUGCCGUGUGGACGCUGAAAGAGCACACAAGCUGAUAACUGAUGUCCUGUAGCACUUGCCAAAGUCCAUCAUUAAAAAGAAGGUACCAUCCCAGAAAGGGCAAAGUAGCUCUGCUCAGCUUGCCUCCGUCCAAGAGGUAGCCAGAAGCAUUGCAGCUGAGCCUGUUCCCCCUACUACAGUGGAGUCAGCAGAGGGGCAUACAAGUGCCAGCAGGGCCAGGCGGGCACCACUGUGAUUCAGGGAGCCAGGGCUAGUUCUGGGCGAUGGUGGACUAAAGGCAAAAAAGCCCAAGUAACCAACGGCUUCAACACUACUUGCUUUGUUGCUCCUUACAAUAAAACCUCAUGUUAGCUCUC